CAGAAAGUGAAGGAUCUUGUGGCGCACCUCGGAUAUUUCGAGAUCUCCCAUAUCCCCAGGUCGGAGAACGCCCGGGCCGACGCACUCUCUAGGCUGGCGACUUCAGUUUUUGACUCUUUGGGCCAGACGUUCGUGGAGAAUCUCGAGCAGCCGAGCAUCGACAAGGUCGAGGAGGUGCUACAACUGACAGCCGAACCAAGCUGGAUGGAUCCG
rnacentral:lncRNA from 1 species